rnacentral:rRNA from 1 species
GACGAACGCUGGCGGCGUGCUUAACACAUGCAAGUCGAACGGAAAGGCCCUGCUUUUGUGGGGUGCUCGAGUGGCGAACGGGUGAGUAACACGUGAGUAACCUGCCCUUGACUUUGGGAUAACUUCAGGAAACUGGGGCUAAUACCGGAUAGGAGCUCCUGCUGCAUGGUGGGGGUUGGAAAGUUUCGGCGGUUGGGGAUGGACUCGCGGCUUAUCAGCUUGUUGGUGGGGUAGUGGCUUACCAAGGCUUUGACGGGUAGCCGGCCUGAGAGGGUGACCGGCCACAUUGGGACUGAGAUACGGCCCAGACUCCUACGGGAGGCAGCAGUGGGGAAGAUUGCACAAUGGGCGGAAGUCUGAUGCAGCAACGCCGCGUGCGGGAUGACGGCCUUCGGGUUGUAAACCGCUUUCGCCUGUGACGAAGCGUGAGUGACGGUAAUGGGUAAAGAAGCACCGGCUAACUACGUG